rnacentral:lncRNA from 1 species
AAACUUGUACCAAUGCUUAUAAAGAAUUCUACAAGAAUAGUACCUUCAUACAAUCAAUGGAAAUAAAUAGGUUGAGCAAAGGCAAGUAAAAAAUAAUGAUUUGGUAUUUUUAAAAUAUCUAAUGAAGAUACAAUCUUUUAGCAUUGGCAACAUGAUUCUAUAUAUAUUUUCUAUAAAAGAGAUGGAUUCUUAUAGUAUUUUGAAUGAAUCUCUAAAAAUA